CCUACGGGGGGCAGCAGUAGGGAAUCUUCCACAAUGGGCGAAAGCCUGAUGGAGCAACGCCGCGUGGGUGAAGAAGGUCUUCGGAUCGUAAAACCCUGUUGUUAGAGAAGAAAGUGCGUGAGAGUAACUGUUCACGUUUCGACGGUAUCUAACCAGAAAGCCACGGCUAACUACGUGCCAGCAGCCGCGGUAAUACGGAGGUGGCAAGCGUUAUCCGGAUUUAUUGGGCGUAAAGGGAACGCAGGCGGUCUUUUAAGUCUGAUGUGAAAGCCUUCGGCUUAACCGGAGUAGUGCAUUGGAAACGGGGAGACUGGAGUGCAGAAGAGGAGAGUGGAAGUGCAUGUGUAGCGGUGAAAGGCGUAGAGAUAUGGAAGAACACCAGUGGCGAAAGCGGCUCUCUGGUCUGUAACUGACGCUGAGGUUCGAAAGCGUGGGUAGCAAACAGGAUUAGAUACCCUAGUAGUC
rnacentral:rRNA from 1 species